rnacentral:lncRNA from 1 species
UUUCAAACUAUAUUGGGCUCUUUUCUUUCACAGCUACAGGAGCAGCCAGGAGGAUGCUCGGGCUUCAGUAGAGGUGCCUCCAGUUUCCCUUGCUGUGGCAAAAGAAGCUUUGGUUGGAUCCCAAUGAAACCAAUGAAAUCUUCAAUGCCAACUCUUAUCAGUAGAUUUGGAACCUGAUCAAAGAUAGCUGAUCAUCCACAAAACCAGUGACUAUUCAUUCUGAGGCUCCAUGCCAGAAAAAUUCCUUGGCUCCCCAGAGACACAGGCAUGUGGGCAUAGGUAAACAGAAGAGUAUAGUUAAUGCUCCAAUGUAGGAGAAGGUCACCUGGGUGCAGAGGAUGUGAAUUCUGUGUAGGCUGCUCAGAGAUACCAUGAAUCUAAGAUUAACCACCACAUGUAUCACAGCCUCUACCUGAAGGUAAAGGGCAAUGUCUGCAAAAACAAGUGGAUCAUCAUGGAACAUAUUCUAAAACUGAAGGCAGAUAAUGCCAAGAAGAAGCUUCUGGCUGACCAGGCUGAGACAAAAGAGGAAUACAAGCUCUGUGAGGAGCAUUCCAGGCCAAAGAGGAGGACAUCAAGACUCUGUCCAAGGAGGAAGAGACCAAGAAAUUAGGCUCCACUCUUGUGUCUGUACAUAGUGGCCUUGAUAAUUACAUAGAUACUCCUUGAAAUAAAAAAAAAAGCUUUAUCUGUUAAAAAACUAUAUUGUACCACAAUUUUAGAAAUUCACAGUUUUAUAAAUUGUCAUUUUUACAAUAAAAGAAAUACAGUUAGUCUGCUCUUUGAAUUGUGAGGCUUGAAGAAGCCAUGUUACUUGUUUUAAAACCAGAAAUAGUUCAUCACUCUUUAAAUAUUUUUGCUCUGUUUUACAUACUUUAUUUUUUUUAAUCUUCAACACUGUUCUGAACUUCUUUUACCAUUACAUACAAUGUUCAAAUGGUCAGCAUUUCCCUUUCUCUUUCUCCCUUUCUCUCCUUCCCCCAUUGCUUCCUUCCUUCCUUCCUUCCUUCCUUCUCUCUAGC